rnacentral:misc_RNA from 1 species
GUGUAUGUGUAUCCUUGCUGGGCCAGUCUGUCGCCGUUUGAGCCGCCAUUAGCACCUCUGCUAGCCUAGUCUUCACUCGCCCUCUCCACCUUGUGCUCCUCGAUAAGGUGAAACACAGAAAAAGGGCGGGUGCCGCUCUCUCUGCGUGUGUGUGUCUGUGUCUGCCUUCGCCCGCGUGCUGCCCCACUCGGUCCCCACAAAGACGAAAAAUGUUCCCGUUUGAGGAGUACGUGAACGGUCACGUGGUUCAGCAGUAUAUGUAUGACAACGUCGACUACGCCUGCUACCUGGUGUUUGCCUACCUCGGCAUGGUGCGCUACGGCCCAGGUAUUGCCAAGGCCAUCCUCGGCGAGAACCCCGCGCCGCAACCGGCCGCCGACGGCAGGCGCGCGAAGCCGGCUGCAGAUCCGGAGUGGCUGCGCCUAAGCAUGAUAGUGUGGAACUUCAUGCUCUCUGGCUUCUCGAUCUGCGGCGCGAUCGUGUUGGUUCCGGCGCUGCUUUCCUCCAUCAAGAGCAAUGGCCUAAAGAGCACUGUGUGCGAAUACCGCGUCGAGCUCGCCUACACCUCCCCACGCGGUUCCUGGCUGGCCAUGUUCGUGCUGAGUAAGAUCCCUGAGCUCGUCGACACCUUGUGGCUAAUUUUGCAAAAGAAGAAGACGCCGCCGUUCCUGCACUGGUACCAUCACGUUUCAGUGCUCAUGUUCGCCUGGCUCAGCUACUCCGUCGGCAACUCGACGAUGGCCGUCUUCUCCACCAUGAAUAUCUUCGUGCACUCAAUCAUGUACAUGUAUUUUGCCCUGUGCGCAUGCGGCGCCAAGAAGCUGCUUCGCCCCUUCGCUCCCCUGAUCACGGCGCUGCAGAUUCUGCAGAUGGUCGGCGGCACCGCGCUCACUUUCUACUCGUACACGGUGAAUGUGUCGUCCUAUAACGCUGGAAUUGAGGACGUUCACAAGCUGCCGUGUGCCGUCCCCAAGUCCGCAGCCCGCUUUGGGGCCCUCAUGUACCUAUCCUACCUGUACCUCUUCUGUGAGUUGUACGUGAACUCGUACAUUAAGGGCCCCGCUCGCGACGCCGCCGCCAAAAAGUCCGCGUAAACCGGAAAAAAAAAUUUAAACAUACCAUCCACAGCAAACACCAAGCCAGAGGCGGCGACGACAACAACAAAAAAGGGGGCUUGAAGAAGCACACGCACAGAGGUACCUGCACUUGACACCGGGGGGUAGGAAAACAAGGCGCAAAGAAAUGGGGAGGAGGAGGAGGAGGAGAGGACAGAGAGAGUCGUAACGCUUAGGAACUAGCCAUGUUUUCAUCAUGGCCGCUCUCCGGCUCGCGUGCCUCUGCUUCCCUCCCUCCCUUCCUCCCUUCCUCUGUGUGUGUGUGUGUGUGAGGGAGAGAGUUUCGACUCUGUAUCCCACUUUUUUUUCUUGCUUAUGCUUCUUUUACCUCUUCUGUGCGCAGUGAAAACAACUUACCGGAAAAAAAAGACAUUUUGCCAUGUGUGUUGUUGUUGUUUUGUUUUCUUGCUUAUGGUCUUUUCUCCGUCUUCACCACCACCACCACCCCACUCCUCCGUGAAGGACAGAGUCCCGCAACGGCACCGCCUAAAGAAAAAAAAGGUGGACGACGACAUAAUAGGCGAGCUCAGUGUGUGUUUGUGUGUCUUAAAAGCACCAUGCUGUGUCGCUCGCUCUCUCUCGCGCGCGCGCGCUCAGUGUCUUUGUGUACGCGUGUGCUUGUAUAGUGCGGACUUCUUAUCUGCUUUCGCUUUUCUAUCUUGCUGCGUGUCCAUCGCUCCUUCACCCCACCCAUCGUUUCCACAUCCCCGCGGAAGCCAUCUCGUAGUAUCGAUACUCGUGGAAAAAAGAAAACGGAGCCCAUGUCGCCAGCCCCCUCCUCUCAACCCUCUUUCUAUGCCUACACCACCACCCCCGCCCCGCGGCUGUCUCGGACCUUGACAUCUUUCUCACGCACGUAUGAAUGUAACCGGAACCUGUCCGAAACAACGCCACACGGAGGGCGCUCACCUCGCGCCUCGGAAGGCUUGCGUCUUUCUGGCCUCUUCCUAGUUUGCGUGUGUGUGUGUGUGUGUGUGUAUCUGCGCGUCCAGAGUACCCAGGCGAAAAAAAAAAGGACGAGAGCAACAUGCAAAGAAGGACGGCGUCGAGUAAAAAGCGCUUGCGAAUGAGGGGCGAAGAAAAGAAGAAGGAGAGAGCACCGUGUUCUUUGCUAUCUUAUGUUUCCCUUUUGGGGGGUUUGCUUGCUCAUGCCCCCUCCUUUGCAGGGGGAGGGAGGUGUGAGGAAGGAAGGAGAAUCAUGACACAUACAUAGACAACCACGCACCUCCACACACACGCAUACACACAUACAUACAUACAUGCCAUCAGGCUGUGACAGAAAGCUAAACGCAGGAGGCAGAGUUGUCGUAAUCAAACGAAAAGGGAAUAAAAGUAAGCGACG